rnacentral:lncRNA from 1 species
UAGAAAUUAAUAGGUAAUCAUAUAUUGUUUUAAUUCUAAAAUUAUCUUUUAUUCAAUGUUAUUUUUUUAGUGAUUUAGAUGUUUUUUCAUUAAUAAAAAGUUUUUUUGUUUAUCAUACCAUUUUUUUUAAUUAAAAUUGUAUGUCCUUUUUGGUAAUUUAUUAAUAUUAAAAGUGUUUUUAUAUUUAUACAAUAUAUUAUCAAAAACACUUUAGAAUCAUUUUUUCUGAUUAUCAUAAAAGUGUUUUUCACAGAAACACUAUAGCAGAAAAUACUUCAAAUAAAAACACUUUCACUAAAAUCACUACCAAACAGGCUCUAAGAAAAUUGAAGUUUUUAAAAAAAUUUACCUCAAAUUUUAAAAUUUUCUUAAAGCAAUUUUUGAGAAUAUAAGGUAAUUUUAUAUUUUUUAUAUCAAAAUAUUUAUUUUUAUCAUAUUGUGAUUGUAAUUAUAAUAAUUUUUAAGGGUGAAUUUCAUUAACCUUUCCUAAAAUUUUAAUUAAAUAUAUUUAAUUUUCAAUAAUUUGAAAUUUCAUCAAAUAUCCUUUCUAUUUUUUGCCCUUUAGAGGAUAAUCAUGACCCAUGUCGAGCCUAGUGGAUUGAUGCUUGACUACUAAAAGGACUUUCAAGACAAGUUUUUGAAAGGUUUGGUAGUUUAGGGUUUACCAUUACUAUAUAUUCAAUGUAUGCAUCAUGUCAUUCUUAAAUUUAGACAAUAGGAUUUGUUUGAGAAUUAUUUUUUGUAAAAAUAAUUUUUUUGUUCUUAAAAAUAAAAAAUUAUUUUCCAAAUUUAAAAAAAAAAACAUUUGGUGAUUUUUCUUAUGUUAUUUUGAAAAAUGGAGUGUCUUUUAAAAUAUAUUUUAAUUAAUUUCAACUAUUUUCAUAUGUUUUCUAGGGAUUAUUUUAUAAAAUAAUUAUAAAAUAUAAAGAAUGAUUGACAAUAAAAUAAUAUGAAUAAAAUUUAUUUUUAAGAAAUAUUUAAAAACACAUAAAAUAGGAUGAUAAUAUUCAAAGUAGCCAAAUAAAUUUUUAUUCUAAAAAAAAUAUUAUAAAACUAUUUUUCAAUACUAUUUUUUUAUCAUUGUUUUCACAAACAUUCCCCAAAAAAGCCUUAUAGAUUUUUAUAAAGAAACCCUAUAUAACUUAACUCAAAGUUUAAAUAAUUCUUUUUUAUGUAAGUAAAUUACAAAGUAGAGUAUCUACAAAUUCAAUUAAAAGAUGAGUCUCGGCAAUCUUCAAAACCAAACUUUAUAAUAUUUCUUGAAAAUUUUGAUCUCCAAUUGAUAAACUCUAUAUUACAAAUACCUUUAUUACCUAAACAAUCUAUUGUUCUAUUUGUUUCUUAGUAAAUUUCAUGACAAUUAUAAAUAUUUAGAUCAUGAGUUCAUUUUCAAACAUCCUUCAUUAAUAAUAUAAUAUAAUUAAGAAUAAUGCUCUUUUUUUUUAUAAUAAUUUAUUUUUACUUUUAAGUAACAUUCAAUCUCUAAGUUUAAGAAGUCAUUAUUCUUAGCAGCCAACACGCCAUCUAUUAAAACCAUAGAUUUCACAAUAAUUAUUGAUACAUUACCCAUAUACCUACUUACAUACGAAUCAUGAUGUAAGACUAUCAGGUUGUCAUUAGUAUACGGUUACACAUUAAAUAAGACUUACAAUGAAUUAUAAAUAAGACAAUCGAGUUUGUCAUAAUUCACUGAGCUACUAUAUUGCAUAGACUUUCAACAUUAAAAAGAUAUUAGGCCUAUGUUGAAAUCAACAAGAAGAUUUGACUUAUGGGGGUGACUCUUAAAUAGUUAUAUAUUUCCUUUGAAUUAAGUCACUAUUAAUAAAGGUUGACGACAACAAAUAUUCUCAAUAGAGACAUCAUGAUAUCUCAUGGGAUUGAGAUAAUGUAUUCCUUUAAGAGAUCCAAAUGACAUGUAAUUAUGAAAUUUGUGGUCAUAGUAAUUCCUUAAGUGGAAUUUGACAUAUAUUCUUUACGAAUUAGAGUAUGUCAGUUGAUAACAUAAUCGAAGAAUUUAUAAUUUGUUUUAUAAGUUAGAGAAAGUACACAAUUUUACUUAAUUCACACGUAUUUAUUCUCCAUAGUUUUACUUGAUGCCUUGUGCUCCCUAAUAGAUGACCUUAACCCCCUAUUGAAGCUAACGAAUCAAUACACCUCCAUGCCUUUCUAUUGAAAAGACUUCUAAGUUCUUAAAAUGUUAGAGAUUUUAGAGUUUUAGGAUAGAGCUAUGAUUGUGUAUUUAAUAUGUACAUCCUCUUUUUCGAGUUUAAAGACUAGAUUUUUAUAGAGAAACCCCAUAUAACUUAUUCAAAAUAGGUUUUAAAAGUGCAAAAUUACUAAAAGGUAUAGUUUAAAGAAUUAAAAAUCAUUGAUUUUUUUAAAAAUAUUAUUGGAUAUUCAAACCACUCAUAUAGGAGUGUUUGAAUGUUGUGAGGCAUUUGAACUUUCCAUGAGGUAGCAUGCAAACAAUGUAGGAUGUUUGAAUGCCCUAAAAAGGGCGUUCAAAGGUCCUUUUGUGUUUUCCCACCUUAUUUUAUUUUUCGUCAUAAAUUUACUUUGAAUUUCAAUUCAAUUCCAAAUUUAAUAUUUAUUGUAAUAUCAUAACACUCCAAAUAUAUAUUUACCUCAAUCAAAUUUCAAGUUUAAGUAUAUUAAACUUACUCAUGAUGGUAAAUGACAAAAUCAAUGCAUAAAUGAAAUACAAAUUGUCAAACUAAUCUAAAACAUCAUCACGUAGUUGUGAUAUGACUUUAUUUUAUUUUUCACUUUUUGAGUCUAUGCAAUUGAAAUAGACAUCUUUCUUCUCCUUCUUCAUUUUGACAUUAAUAUCCGUGUAAUCGCGAACACACACAUAUCUUAAAAUUACACAUACAUAUAUCUUAAAAUGAGAGUCAUUGAGAGCUUGGAAUGGUUGACAUUUCUUGAUGUUUGUUAGAAAGUAACAUCAUCUCUUAUAAGCUAAUUUUAGUUUCUAAUACGUUGCCUUCUUUAUUGUGAUUUGAAGUAUUAUUAUUAUUAUAAGAAAGUGAUUAUUAUAGGCAAUCGCUUUUAUAUCGUGAUUAUUAUAUACAAUCAACUUUAUACCGUGAUUAUUAUAUACAAUCAACUUUAUACCAUAAACACUCGAACGUAAUAAAAUUUGUCAAUGACAGAUUCAUCAACUUGUUUUGGAUAACGAUCUGAAAGACAAUUUUUUUCCUUUUUAUUUUUAUAACUAAUUUUAAUUACACAUUGAUUUUUAAUAAAAAUGUCUUUAUCAUCUUCCGAUCUAACUUCUAUUGCUACACAUGGUAAGAAACCUACGAAGACCUUAAGUGAUGACGACAAAAGAUAUUCUGUCUCCAACUCUAAGUCUUAUUGAGGUUUUGUACGGAGAUGCCUCCUAUUAACGAAGAGUGAACUGAUAAUCAAGUGUAAACAGCGACUGAAACUUGGGAUCAUUCUAAAUUUUUGUGCUAAGGACUAUACUUUAAAUGGUCUGAACAACAUGAAUAACAUCCAAUAAUGUCAUGAAGGGCUUAUGAAUUGCAGGAAGACAACCCUACUUACCUGAAAGAUAAAAGGCAUGUUUGGGCCCUCCAUUUUAUUGUACCACUCGAGACCCAUUUAAUUUGAAAUAUAAAAAUUUAGGAGAUGGCCCUUGUGAUCUCAAAUUUUGAAAUUUGAAGCUAUACAACCAAAGGAAUAGAGAGUAGUAAUUAAAAUAUUUUUUAUAUUUUUAAUUAUUUUUUAACCAAAUUAAAAUAAAAUCAAACACUAGAAAAAGGUUAUAAAUUUCUUCUAAAAAAUGGUUUCAAAAUAGACCUCAUAAUGUUUUAUAAUUAUGGAUAUAAGUAUCCAUUUUGAUACAUUUUUAUUUUUUUGUUUUCAAAAUAUAAAUAAUAAUAAUUUUUAUAUAAGAUAUAAGAAAUUUUAGAUAUUUUCAUCGAACAUGUAAUAAUUUUAAAAAAUUAAGGCAUUUAAAUUUUAAAAAUUUUGCAAGUGAUUUUAAAGAUAUAAGGUAAGUUUAUAAUUUUUUGUGGUCAAAGUUUCUAAUUAUAAAUAAAAAAAUUUAUUCUAAUUAUUUUUUAAUAAAGUAAUAUUUUAAUAUUUAAGAAAUUUAAUUUAAACAAAAGAGAAUGAAAUGAAUUUGAGGAUAUCACUUUCCUUUAUUGGGAAUCGUGUUUUUCAAAACAUUUUUCUUUAGAACCCGACAGGACCACGCAACUUAAACCUCAAGCGGGUCUAUCCACGUGGCGACCACUCUAAGGUUCUCAUUCUGAAAAAUACCGAAACACCCCCAAAAGGAGCACGUGCAUGCGCGUCGCUCCACAUGUCCAGAUCCGUUAAAGAGCGGGAAAAGCCAUUCAUUUCAAAUUCAAAAAUUUCAAACGGUUCUAAGCCAAAGCACAGUAAACACCGAUACCAAAAGCUCUUCUCUCUCUACAGUUUCAUCGCCUGCGAUUUCUACCAGUAUGAGGUAUUUCCAUUUGCAUAGAUCCGUUUCUUUUCUUCUUCUUUUUUUGCAUUUUUUAUUGUAUUUUCUAUCAUUUUUGUUCUCCGCAGAGAUGGAUUUUCGCGGUAUGAAGAGGAAACAACUACAAGCGCUGUGCAAGCAGCAUGGUGUUCCAGCGAAUUCGACGAAUCUUGAGAUGGCUGAUAGGCUCUCCUUGUUUUUUAAGGUUUGGAGUUUACCUUAGCCUUGUUUCCUUUGAUUUUUCUUCUUUUCUGAGAAUGUUCAGGAAAACACAAGAAAUUAGAAUUUUGUAAUUUUGUUUUUUCUCAACUGUUUUCCGUGUCACUAAAUAAGAAUCUUCAAUGAAAUGUGUCCGAUACAACUAUAUGUGGAAUAGAACUUAUAAUUUAGGAAAAGACAAGGAACCAAAAAAUUUAGUGAUUAAAUUUUUUUAUUGUUUUGGAAUAAAGCAAUGAAAAUCUUUACUAUAAUGAGUCCAAAUUCAAGUGUAUGGAACUGAAAUAAGGAAUAUGUCUCUUUUUGGUUGUGAGAAAAUUCAGGAAAAAAUAUGAAGUAAAAUAUUUAGGUAAUUCAGCUUUUCCAUUGUUUGAGGUUUGGGAAACAAGAGUUUUCACUGAAAUGAGUCCUUUAAAACUAUAUGGAAACUGAAAUAACAAGGAUUAAGUUCAGGGAAAGAAAAGGGACUAAAUUUUUUUGUACUUUUGCUUCUCAUCGAGUGGAACCUGGGAAAUAAUUCACUGAAAUGGGUGAAAUUCAAUUAUAUGCAAGCUAAAAUAAAAGGCAAUAUGAGAGUUAGAAGUUUGUUUUGUUUUCUUAAUUUACUUGGUCUCCCUGGCAACCUAACUGAGGUUGAACUUUAAUUGGGAAAUAGAUGCAUGAUUUUUUUCUGUAAUUCUUUGUUGCAGGAAAAGGAAAAACCAGUGACGCAAGGUCGGUCUUGCUUGAAGAAUCUGGAUGGGAUAGAUAGCCUAAAUGAUUCUAAUGCUGUCACCUGCGAUCCCAAGAGAGUUAGGUUUAGUCCUGAAAAUGAGACGUUUGAAUUUGAGGAUUCUGAGAUAGACAGGGAAAACACCCCAGCAAGAACAAGGGCGGCAAGGGCGGCAAGGAGGUCUAGGGUGAGACUGGCUAAAGAGAAAGUGAGUCCUGUUGGUGCAAAUGCUGGAAAUAGUGAGUCCUGUGAGGAAACUAAAGGUACUCUGAACAGAAUCACGAGGCACCAAGGACAAAAAAUCAUAGAGGGGCAUGCAGUGAAGUCUUCAUCACCUCUUGUUAAGGAAAAGGGGGCGAAAAAAGGCACAAAGAUCAAAAGUACAGUUUCAGAAAUUGUUGAUAAAAGUGCUAAGUUAUCCCCAGUAUUAGAAAUGGAUGACAAUGCACGUGGUAAAGAAAACGGAAGACCGAUAAGAAGGCAAUUGAGGAGUAGGGAGGUGGUAGUUGAGAAUGCCAGUGAACUAGGAAAUGAAGAUUCUAUCAUUCCAAAGAAGAAUCCAGUGCAGACAAGAUCAAAGAGGAGGAAUCCGAAAGAUAGUAAUGAGGUUCUUACCACAGAUGAAAUUUCCGAAGACAUUAUUAGUGAAGGAGAAGGUGAAAAAAUUGAAACUGGAAAGGUCUUUAGGCAAUCUAAACGGAAGGCGAUAGAAGAUGGCGAGUGUGAACUGUUUGGUGGGGAAUUGGGGAAAAGGAAAACGGUUGGAAGGAUCACAAGGUUCCGGGCCCAGUUGGUGGGGCGAGAAGCAUCUGCUGUUGAAGGUGAAAAUGAGACUGGAGAUGAAUCUGAAGUCCAGGUUUCAAAAGACUCUGAAGCUGUUCUUCAACUCAAAGAGCCUGCUAAGUUAGGUAGAAACACUUUGAGGCAGAAAUCUGCAAUUUCUCAAUCAGAUCCAUCUGUGAGAACAGAGACCAGAAAACAAUGGAAGGGCACAAGUUUGGAAGGAGGAGCCUCUGAGACUGAAGUGAGUAUGAAAGAGAAGGAAAAGGUUUCUCUACCUAAUGGCCCUCUAAGGAGGUCCAGACGCAACACUUUAGCAUUUAAGUCUACUGUUUCUCCUGAUGGAGGGUUGGUAACUCAUGAAGCUGUUGGAAGGAAUCAGCAAUUGAAGCACUUGGGAGAACCAAUUACAGAAAAAGAAGCCUCUAAACCUGAGGCAACUGCUGAAAUUUUGAAAGAAAAUGAGAAGGUUUCUCUACACAAUGGCCGUCUGAGGAGAUCCAGACGCAACACUUCAACAUUUAAGUCUAGUGCCCCUGCUGCUGAUGGAAAUUUGGUGACUGGCGAAACUGUUGGAAGGAAUGAGCAGUCAAAGUGCUUGAGAGAAUCAACUCCAGAAAAAGAAGCUUCUGUAACUGAAGCACCUUUGAGAAGGUCCAAGCGGAAUGCUUCUAGGCAUGAUUCAAUAUCUGCAUCCACAGGAAUGGAUGGCAUUCCUAAUGCCAUUGGAAAGAAUAAGCCACAGAAGAGAAGUCUGCAGCCAAUUCUCGAAGAAGAAACUUCUGUGAUUGAGAAGGAGCCUCUAAUUGAAGAACUUCCAAGACAAUCUAAAUAUAAUGCUUCCAAAUGUAACAUAGUUGGACCUGCUAGAGUAGCUGGUGAAGUUAAGGGAAAGAAGAAGCAGCGGAGGAGAUCAAAAUUUCCAAGCUCAAAAGGGGAAGCUCCAUUAACUGAAAGCAUGUUGGAUAUUGAAGAAACACCAGGCAUAGAUGUUGAAUUGUCAGAGCCAGAAGCUGCAGGAAGCAAAAGUUCAGUUUUGAUCCACCAAGAAGGAACUCCUAAAGAUAAAGAUACUAGUAAGAAGAGGAAGAGCUCCAGGAAGAUAUCUAGUGCAAAGAAGCAGCAACAUGGGUCAGUGGAGGUUUGCCCUGUAAUUUCUGACUUAGAGGAAGUUGAGGAUCGCACAACAGUGAAUUUCAAGGAUAUUCCAUCCCAAUCUGCAGCUGCCAUAGAGGAGGAUAUUGUUGAGGAUCUCACAACAGUGAACUUGGAGGACAUUCCAUCUCAAUCUGCAGUUUCUGUAGAAGAGGAUAUUUCAAUGGAAAAUGAUAAGGAAAAUUUGGUUCAAGAUAAAGUUAAUGAAGGUAACAAGGUUGAUAAAGAAUCUCAGUUCCACAACAUGAGAAGUGAUCUUGAUUAUGAUAAUUCAGUUGAACCACAAGGAAAUCAAUAUUCAAGUAGAGUUAGCAAGGAACUGGUCUCUCCAGUCUUUGACUUCUCAUCUGUCCAGCAACCAGAUUACACUGGUAAGUGUCUGUUGGCUUUUGGGACCAUAAUCGGUUUAGUAUUUUUUUCAUAUAAUUGAUUACUCAGUGAUCAACAAUUUUCAGGAUCAUCUGCUAAUCAUGUGAAGUUGCAGAGAGAACUGGAAACUGAAGAAGAGCUAUCUGCAGGCAAGCAUAUAGAUCCAGCAAGUGAUAUUUUUGUUGAUCUUGCAGCUGAAGAUGACAAAACUUCAGUUGAAAAGGAGCAGAAGUUAGGACUAGGAGAGAUGAAUGGUUGUGCUGAACCAGUCAUGCAUGAGUUAGAGGAGAAUGUAACUGAAUCUAAUGAAAGUGGCAGCUCAAAAAGGAACUUCGAAACUUUCAGUGAGGAAUCUGGAGAUAUUGCUUUGCUUAACCCCUCCAAUGGAGAACGGGCCACUCCAAAUAUAUCAGGGAGGAGAGAUAUUGAUGAUGCUGAAGAUCCUGAGGCUGCUGUUGAAUUUCCAGAAAAUGCUGUAGCUUCCCCUGUGGCAGAAAUUGUUGCAGAACAGGUUACAGAAAUCCAGCUUGCCUCAAGUGGUCAAUGGUCUACAGAGGAGACUCCUGUAAAGAUUGUUAUCACACCAGAAUGUCAAAGUAAGUGUGUACUGUAUCCUUUCUUUGUCAAUCAUUAGCCAUCAAAUGGUCUGAUGAUGUUAAAGUUAUACAUAAUUCAAGAAAUUCAUUUGGCCAUUUUCUUCUUUAUUGCAUCUGCUGUUAUAGAUGACAAAGUGGUUGGUUCUUGUUUGCACACUGUCUCAGCAGAUGAUGGUUCUCAAGAAGGUUAGUUCCAUUUAUACAGGGCACUGCAAUCUCCAGUGAGUUUUCUUGCUAAUUUUCUUUUAUUAAACAUGCAGAAGGGUAUCAACUCAAUGCUCAACUUGCUGCACAGUCCCCUGUGCUUGGAAGAAGCAAUCCAAAUCAUGGUGAAGGAGAAAAAUCUUAUAGUUAUGGGAAUGUUAUCAUGGAUGGAACAAUGUGCGGAGGUGAAUUGUCUGUUAGUGAUGCCAGGGAGCGAAGAGAGCAUCCUGUUUUAGACGAGUUAGAUGGUCAAAUUUCCGAGAAGAAGGAAAGUGUAAUGUCAAAGGGAAUCACAAGCGUUUCUAAGGAAAUAAAAGAGACAGGUAAACAUAUACUUUCCCAUAGAGAAGGAAUCUGUCCAAUUACCUCAGCAAAGAGUGAUUGAACUAUUCCUAUGUUAUUGCUCUUCAAUGACAGGCCAUGGGACACCCUCAUGCUCACUGUUAUUGCUUUAGUAACCGUAAAUUGUAAGAAAAGCCUAAUACCAUUCUUGUUCUUGGUUUCAGAUGUUUCCCACUUGGAUUUUCUAUUUGGAACAGCUUCUGGUAUUGUUGAAAGAAGUUUGCCAUCUUGUGAGCACACUCACUUGAAAGACAAAGGUGAAGAGGACCAAGGUUAGUUCCAUAGUUACUUGCUCAGCAUAGGUUACCCUUCAGCAAUUAUUUAAUUAACUCUUUUCUAUUUGAUGUGCCAAAGAUCAACUUAAAAUUCUGUUUGGCAUACUGGUUGACAAUACAGAUCCUAUGGAGCAAGAUGAAGAGUCUACGCAUGUAACUGAAAUGGCGAGCACAACAAUAUCUGCAGGCAAAACUUCCAGUAAUAAUUUGGGAUCUGGAAGGUUCCAUCAUGAGAAGUAUCAAGAAGAUGCAGGAGUAGGGGAAAGUGAUCAUGAGGGAAUAUCUAAUAUGGGCAAUCAAUCACCAGAUGUUAAUGAAGAUAUUUAUAAUGAGGCUUCCAAAGGGAACUUGGAAGUGGAAAUUACAGGACUGGAUGGCUGUGCCUAUCCCUUUCCAAACAAGUUCUCUAAAGAUGAUCAUGCUACAGUCGACAAAGAAAGUGGAGGCUCACAUGUUUACUCCAGAAAUGCUUCAGGAGAGGGCAGAGGUACAAAUGUGGUUGAACUUUCAGUUGGUGAAGGAAUGCCUCCAGGUGUCUCUAUUAUGGAUAAAACUGGAAAUGCUUCUGGGGAGGUUGAAGGGACAAAUGUGGAUGAACCAUCUUUUGAAGGAAUCACUCCAGCUAUCUUAGAAGAGAGAGUUAUUGCUGAAACCAGAGAUUUUGAAGAGGCUGAUAAGCUACUUGAAUUUAAUGCAGAAUCCCAUGUAACACCUGGAAGCACUGCUGGAGAUAUGGAGAAAGAAAUCUAUUUUGCCGAAAUUACUCAAUGUUCUGGUGGAAGUGGAUUUGAUCUUCCUCUCUCACAUGUCUAUGCCCUCGAGCACCAAGGUUUGGAACAAGCUAAUGCCUUCCAUUUUUUGGUUUUUAUUUUAUUUUUCAUUUUACUCUCUGGAAAUCCUUUCUCAUCAUGUUUUUUUUUAAGUACUUUCUCAUGUAACAUUCACAUUUUUAUUCUCAGCCUCUGGUAACGUCCACAAAGAAAUGUCUUUGAGCACACAGAGUCCUCACGUCCAAAAACAAGGUUUGUUCCAUUCUCCAGUGUCUUUUCAGGAUUGAAUGACCAGGCCAAGGUUUAAAAUAUUCUAUGUUUCAAUGUGCAGAAGGGAAUCAACUUGAAACAUUCUGUGUCAAUGAGGUUUUGAGCCAACAAACUAGUGGGGUUAAAAGUUUCACUCUGGAGGCACUUGCAAUGAGUAGUCCACCGUUGUUUUUAGAGAAGCUGUAUGGUCAUGAAGAGGAGGAUUCAGAGAUGAACUGUAAUGCUAAUACUGUUGUAGAUGAGCCUUUUAGCAAACAUAGUGUAGUAACUCUUGAUGGGAUUGAUGGCAAAGGCAUUGAAGAACACAUUUGUGUGACUAGUAGCAAUCUUGUCACAAAGAAAGAAAGUGCAGAGGUUUUGCCUGAAAUUGAGGUUGGUAAUGUUCAUGAUGAUCACCAUGUGGUGGUUGAACAAAUGAAUUACAAUGUUGAUGCAAGUUCGGCAGAGAGAAAUUGUAAAGAUAACAAGAUGUCUGAUGAAGCCAUUGCAGGGUUUUCUAGUGUUGGGUAUGUCACUCUUGUUCCUGGGGAGAAAAUUUCUGAGUUUGAGCCAGGAACUGAGCUUGGUGACAGCCAGGAGGUGACUGCACAGGCAAAUAUCAUCUUUGAUGCAAGUUUGGAUGAGAUCAUUUGUAAAGAAAGUGAAGCACUGGAGAAGACAACAGCUGGAAUUAAGAAAAGCACUUUGGAAGGCAUUGAGGAAAUCACUAUGCUGGAGGAAGAAAAUGGAGAGAUUUCAGCACCAAUUACUCAAACAAAGCUUGAUAGGGAGGUCUUAGAUCAAGGAGUUGAAUUUAUAAAGAUUAAUGGCAGUGCUCAGGUUACUUUGGUUGAGACUGUACAUGAAAAUGAUGAAGUUCCAGAAGAGAUUUUAGAUGAAGUUACCAGUGAAAAAAUGAUUUUGCUCCCUAUGGAAGCAGAUUUUGACUGUAAUGAAUUGAAUAUUGUGGGGGUAAAGAAUGAAAUCUCACUGCAACGUGAUGAAUUGAAGUCUAUUGAUCUUGAUAUUCAUGAUGCAAAGGAUAAAAGCAUCUUCAUCAAUUCAGACCAAUGUAGCUCUGCAGAUAGAGAAACUAUAGAUGAAAGAGAACAUUCAAGAAUCUUGGAAUGCAAAUUCAAUUUUGAAGGUAAUUGUUCUGACACAAAGCACACAGAUGUUGGUGCUUCACCACUGAUCAGUCUAAAAGAUUUUGAUGAUCAGAUAGAGGACGAGGAAGUUGCACACAUGCAUGAUAGUGAUCAUUGUCUUUCAUUGGAUCUUUUGAGCAACAACAGUAGAAUUGCAGCAACGAAAACACAUAAAACCAUUGCAGAAUCGGUUAUGCUGGAGGCAGAAAAUGGAGAGGCUUUUACCCCGUUUGGUUCAGAGGGGCUUGGUCAGGAGGUUUCAGAUCAUGGAGUUGAAUUUCCAAAUUCUGCAGCUUCAGACGUGAGUCAAGCUGUACAUGAAGCUGAUGAAAAUCUGGAUACAAAAUCAGGUGGGGGUGUAGAGAUGAUUUGGAAAGGGGAUGAAGUGAAGUUUGGUGAGCUUGAUGAUUCUAGAGAAGAGGUUCUCCCAGAGACUGACAAGAGUUCUUUAAUUGUUCCACAUGAACUCACUUCCACAGAUGGUGAAGCUGUGAAUGGAACCAUGAAAGAGAAUAGUCACUUUGAGGAUGUCAAUUUUGAUUCCAUGAAGGAAGAAGAUGUUAGCAAUUCACCUAAAGUAAAUGCUGGGAAUUGUGAUGAUCUCUUGGAAGAGGAGUCUGCAGAUGUGAAACACAAUGGUCGUGAUGUUCAGAUAGAUCUUAACUGCAGAGACAUUGGAGGUGCAGCAGACCUAGUUGUUGAAGAUGGCAUGGUUUGUGAAAUUGGUUCUGAUGAUAGGAAUGGUGACAAUAUGUGGGUUCAGAAAGCACAGACUUCGCCAUGUAAAGUUGAUGAUGGUAAUAUAUCUUCUUCCGAGCCUGAAGGGGAUUCAAUUAGUGCCAGUGUCUCACUGCUGAAUGUUUCAUCAUGUCAAGGUGAGCAUCUUCACCCUUUCUUUUUGAUAUGCUUAUAUAUAUAGUCAAAAUGAUAAUCUUCAUCAACUAUCUCUGAAAGCCUCAAAAUCUUUAUCUGCAAAUUACCAGACAUUCAAUAUGUAGAAGCUCUGUAAGUUUAAUAAAUCAUUCUACCAGUUAGGCGGUGGGGAAUUAAUCUAUUUGAGACCAAAUGCAGCAGGUGAAUAUGAAUCUCAUGUAAAAUGUGCAGGAAGCAGUAGCAAAACAGAAAUCAAAGAAUUGAUUGAAGUUGUUCCAAAUGAUGAGAUUAAUGAUACCAAUGAGGCUGCAGUUUGCUCUCCUGCACCGGUUGAUUUUUAUGAGGAUAAAGGUAUUUAGAAACUUAGCUUGUAAACUACAUAACACAGUUACAAGAAUGUAUUUCUAUCUAACAUCUAUUGGCCCAUUCACAAACAAAUAUGAUAUAACACCUAGUUACUUUCAUAAUUUCUUAGGUGAUACUCUUAACUUUGUGGGUAAAUCCUCAGAAGUUAUUAAUAUUACAAAGGAGAGAGGCAUAGCAGAAGAGAGCAGUGCUGGGAAGGCUGAGGAAGUACGUGGUUCAUCACAUAAGUUUGAUGAUGAGAUGGUCUCUUCUGGUGAUUCUAAGGAGCCUCCAAAAUUUGAAAAGUUUGUCGAGGUUUCUUUAUUGGAAGCUGAAAAGGUGGACUGUUGCUCUGUUGUUUCACCAGUCAAUGAUUCUGUUGAUCAUGGUAAGUGCUUAAUCCACUAGUCUUAAAAAGUUUCAGCUGUUUCAAAUUCUUAGAUAAUCAUUUUCUCCUUGACAGAAUGUUAUUCCUAGUUUUUCAUUACUAAUGAUUUUACAGCAGAAGUUGCUUCAAGGAAGCACUUGACAAGAUUAGAAGAUACCACUGAUGAUUCCUCUCUGACCCAUCAGAUUGGUGUGAAUUCCAGUCUUGCCUCAUCGGAGACAGCAUCCUAUGAGUUCACUGACUGGGAAAUAGAUUUAUUUUCUCAUAAUCAUUUCAGUAUGGAAGCAGUUUGUGGAACGAGUUUAAGGAUUAUAGAUCAAUUCCCUGCAGUCACUGAUUCAGCUCUGUAUAAAGGUAUAGAUCAUAUUUAAUUGGUCUGUUCUCAGAAAAGGUUAUCUAUAUAUAUUUAUGGGGAAUAAUUCUUUAGACUUUCUCUAAUUAUUUCUCAGCCUUUGCAGCCGAAGAUGUCCGCACUGAGAAUCUGAAGUUGGAAACAGUUCAGAAGAAAAGUUUAGAUGUAGAAGUGGAAGAAAUCAACCAUUUAUCAUCUCAGCAAUUCAAUUCUUCUAUGAAAAUGAAAAAUAACUUGAAAAGCAGCAUGACCCAGAGAACUCCCAACAAGUUCUUUAAGGCAUUCGAUAUGAAAGAGAACACCCCAAGCAUCAAGAUGGAGCAGAUGGGUAAUUUCUCAGCAAUGAAAUCAGGGACAAGGAGGAAAGCCUUGGAGGACCUUCAAAAAACUAGAGAGCGGAACAGCACUGCUCGCUGACCUUUUUUCAAGGAUUGGAUGUUGUAAAUAUGGGGCCCCAAAAGAGUGGCCCCUCAGUUGACGACCCUGAGCAUACCUCAUGCAAACAUUUGUGGAUGAAAACCCCACUAGUGGGUUAUUGUUAAAUGAGUACUUUGUUGUGUCUCCUUUAUUGUAUUUGUAGCAAAUGAAACUCCAGAAUCAGUGUCACUUCUGCUUGAUUUGCAGUUUGACAGACAUUAUCAGAGAAAAUCUACCUUCUUUAUCCAUGAGAAGCACUACAUUGGAAGAGCUGGUUUAUUGCUUGAUAGAGCAUUGAGAUAAGAGUUUAAGUUUACAUGUGCUAUUAAUUUCAUCAGAUUGAUCAUAAUAGUCUGAGCAUAAGACUGGGAAGAAUGAGAUCUUCAGUAUGUAAUUGUAAGCUGAAGAGUCCCUCGAGAAAAAUUCAAGGACAUUUAUCACAUUAGGCUCUCAUUCUGCAGGAGAAUAUCCUUGAAAUUUUCUUCUCUAACCAUGGAAAUGAUGCAAAUGGCUAUAGAAGAUCAUUUCCCCCUGCUUUCUCACAACAGAAAAUUUUCCUUCAUCAUACUAUAUAAGAACAAAUUUGAACAAAGUGAAGUAUUCCAACGAGGCAAUACACAACGGACCAACAAUUUUUUAGCACUAAUUCAUCAAAACCCAAGUACCAAAAGAGGAGAAAAAUCAUUUGAAGGAGCCCAUAUAUAUGAAGAAGUCCCUUAUUGAGAAGGGGAUAUAUUUAUGAUUAAAUCUAACGUAUAUUCCUUUUGGGAUUACAGAAUGAUCCAACCCCAUCCAACCACAAAACCAACGUGUAUAAAAAAAGAAAAAAAGAAUGAAUGGAAAUUCUGCAAAACAAAUAACCAAGUCAUAUCUCAGUCCUUUUUAUCUACACAACCCCCCGGCCCCCCCCACCUCCAUUUCCUUCACAUCUCAACUCAUCUGAUGAUUCUCAUUCACAACCAUGCGAGUGUUGAGAGAUAGCUUCGUCUUCGAUCAAAAACACAUCCCUCUUCUGCAAUUCCCAGACAGCCUUUCUAUAUAUAGUUCAAACCAUCUAAAAUUUAAAUUUCAUGUAAUCCUAGUCACAAUCCAAUCCACAGACUUCUAAUACAAUACCACCUUUUGAUACAAAUGGGUUGACUCUGACCCAUAGAAGUGAGAAGAUUGAGGCUAGAAGAAUUGACCACACAACAAUAAUGGUGGGAAGCCUAUCUUGUUUCCCCAUUAACCCCUUGAGGAAGGGGUACAGGUGAACAAUGACCCAUAAGGCAAAGAACAGCUUACCAAAUAGAGGGCCCCAUUCUUCAUAACCGUUAUUGAUGGCAUCUGAAAUCCCAACCAUGACCCCAAUUAUAUUCAGGAUCAGUAACGUCAGGGGAGGGAUCAACAAAGAUGUCCACUUAAAAAGGUAGAGCUCCGAAAACUCUCCAUCAUCUCCUCCUUUGGAUGUAACAGUGAAGUUUGUGUUAACACCUGCCAAAACCUUAAGCAGACCUUGGAAGAGAGCAAACAGAUGUGAUGAAGCACCACCAAUCACCCAGAACUGCUCAUUUCUCCACCAGUCAUCUAUGGCAACCCGUCCCCACUGCAUCUCAAGGACACCAGUUGCAGCUAUAGAUAUGAAGAGGGCCAUGAAAAUAAUACUGGCAUAGUUGCUAAUCUGCACAUCAUGCAAAAAAUUAGGAUUAGCUGAAACCAUCACAACCCACAACUAAUGAAAACUAUGCUAAGCACAGGAUCCUUGUUUUGGCCUAUGGAGAUGAAUGAAUAUUCAGGUUUAUGAAAAGCUAUAGAAUCCAGCUACCAUCUUAAAUGAAAACACCAUGAUGUUGACUUCAACAAAUAUCUAGUAGAUAGGAAACAAAGUUUGAUUUCAUGGAUAUCAACUGAAGACUAGUAUGAUCAAGUGAAACUUCUGAAAUUUCAAGGAGGAAAGGAAAUUUCAAGGCUAAUGAAAACUAGAAAAGCAACCUGGAGAUUGAACUUGACACGAGAUGUCAAAAGUUCCAUUCUCCAAUGGAAAACCUUGCCUGAAUAUUAGUAGAAAUGUUUUGAUGCUUGUGGUUACAAGUAUUCUAUCAUGAACCUACAACUAUAUAAUCUUGUGGUUCUUCCAAGGAAAAGAAAAGAAGAUCUCAAAAUGGACAUUACAGAGAUUGAUAUUUAAGAAUGAAAUAGAGCUAGAGGUUACCUCGGGGACAAUGAACUUCCCAGUGAGGAGACAGAAAGCCGGCAAGGUACAGUAGGCAAUCAAGGGAAUGGACGUCCACGGAUAAACAACUGAGUUGAUAUAAGAGAAGCGCUCCAACCAUUUCAAACCACCUCCAUAGCCAUACCAUAUAGGGCAAUACCUACUGAAGAAAAUCUCAACAGAUCCAAGUGCCCAACGUAGAACCUGGUGUAAACGAUCUGACAGGUUAAUGGGAGCUGACCCCUUAAAUGCCGGCCUCUUGGGUAUGCAGUACACUGAUCGCCAACCAUGGCAUUGCAUCUUGAAUCCUGUUAAUAUAUCCUCUGUAACAGAGCCAUAUAUCCACCCAACCUGAUUCAUAAUUCAAAAUCUGGAAUUUAGAUACAGAUGAAAAAAAGUUUACACCUUGUUUGGAAGGGACUGGAAAAGCUAGAAGCUUUUAAAUUUUAGACAGAUGCUUCUUACCUCUUUCCCCCAUUCUGUUUUAUCUUCAUAACCACAGCUAAUGACAUGGAUGGCUUCUUUCAAAAGUGAAGCAGUGGUUGCUCCUUUUGGAACACCACCUUCUUCUAAAAGCGUGGAAGCUAUAAAAACCGGAGACUGUCCAAAUUUUUUCUCAAAUUUCACUUGGGGCAUGAGCAAUGAUCUGUCAUUAUCUAUUCCUGCAAUAUAAAUUCCACAGUAAUAUUACUACUUUGGCUUUAAAAGCAGUAGACCUGAAGCAAGAAAACCAGUGUCCCCCCAAUAAUUACUACCUUGAAUACACAUAUUGAGUUAACUAAAAAAACAAUAAUAGAAAAUUCAAAAAAUCAACUUCACAUGGGAAAAGUUAUACACAACAUUGUUGCCAAUUAAUUAAGAUAAAUUAGGAAUUUUGAAGGUCAUUUAAGAAUUACUUGAAAUAUCUAGAAUACAACAAAAAAAAUGCAGAUAAUAAGACAAUAUGAUUGCGGUUAAUGAUUAAAAAUUGGGAAUUUUUCAUAUUAUUAAGAAUUACUUGAAAUAUCUAGACUACUUGCAAAAGUAAAUAACAAUUGCAUAUAUUAGAAUAAGACCCAUAUUUCCUUCAAAGCCACCCUUACCUUCAAUUCCCUCUUCAAUAUUUUCGAGUGCAUGUAUUUGCUUUGAAGCUUCCCUGUUUUUCAUCUUCUUCUUUUUGUCAGUUGACUUCACUUUCUUGUUUUUCUUCCUUGAUCCACAACACAAGCAGCACCAUUUUGGCCAACAAUUACACGUCUUUCCUGGGGGUUUCUUAUUGACAGGGGCAUCAUAUCCAUAGAGUGCCUGCCGUCUGAAGACACAGCCAGUUCCAACAUAAAUUGGUCCCUGGAUCCCAUCCAAACCUUUCAUAUUGAUCUGUUUUUAAUUGAAAACAAAAAAUUAGCUUUCCUCAAUCAAAAUUUUACAAAUUCACAUCUGUGCAUCAUUGUAUCAAAUUCACACUGGAGUGCCUUACGUACAUCAAAGAAUACAACGUUGCGAUUUGAGUAUCUAUCAUUGCGAUCAAUCCCAUCAAACCUUUGAGGAAACUGUACAUAACAGAUUUUCUUUCCUGAUGUGGGGUCCAUCAUGAAGCACAUGGCUUCACGAAGGGCCUUACUGUUGUUUAUAUAGUGAUCACAGUCCACGUUCAGUAGGUAAGGAGCAUUAGAGAUGAUUGCUGAGACUCGCAUCUUGAAUAAACAGUCAAAACAAUAGCCCCCAAUCAGGAAAUGGGAAAACAAAAAAUGGGAUCCCAAAGAAAAAGAAUGAGAGAGAGAGAGAGAGCUCUACCAAAGCAUUCAUUGCCCCAGCUUUUUUGUGGUGAUCAAAUCCCGGUCUCUUCUCACGAGACACAUAAACUAGACGAGGCAACUCAUUUCCUUCAACAUCACGAACACCAUUAUGACCAAGAAAAACCUGUGCAAGGCAAAAAUAGAGAAAAAAAUCUUUUAAUGUCUCAAAUCUCAGUAUGUAGAAGGUCCAGCAAGAUGCAUGCUGCUCAGGCACAAAAAUCCAUGAAUGCACUCGAAGAAAGAAAUCACCCCCUCACCUGGAUCAUUCCAGGAUGGUCCCUGACAUUGUUCCCAGGCCAUGGAGUCCCAUCCUGCAUUGUCCAACCUUCCUCGGGGACCUUCUGGGCCAUAGAAACCAAUGCAUUUAUCCGAAUUUUGAACUCUUCAUACUCCCUCUGCACCAAUCAGGAACCAAAUAUUAUUGUUUUGAAAUCAACUUAUUGCUCUCAGCAAUGGUUAUCAUGGCAAUACUUUGUCAAAGAUAAAAAAUCAUCACAACAGGACAUCUUUUAUCACUAAAUUCUAAAACUUGUCCUCCACAAGCCAUUUUAAUGAUGCAUAUUUAAUGCCACUCUAUAUGGUUUAAGAUGGCAUUUUGUUUAACCCGCAUGCAGCUUAUAUAGAAUGCACAUUCAUUGGACCAAAAUAUGAACAGAUAAAGAUACAAGGUGUUAACCUUCAUUGCACGACGUUCCCUAACAAACUCCGGAUGCACUUUGUCUUUCAGAUAGUCAACCUUCUGAGCAAAGUACCAUUCUGGGGCCCUCGGCUCAAUGCUGAACUUCUUACAGAAUGGGACCCACCUCCUAGCAAACUCAGAUGUCUCAGAAAGGGCUUCAAAAGUAAGCAUGGCAGCACCAUCAUCUGAGACAUAGCAUGCAACUUUCUCGACUGGAUAAUCUACUGCAAGGAUUGACAGAACUGUGUUUGCUGUGAUAAGUGGAGGUUCUUUCAUGGGAUCAACUGUACUUACGAAUAUGUCUAUAUCAGCUAAUUCAGAUGGCUUCCCUUCUUUUUCAUACCUGAGAACAAGGUUUAAGACGCAUAGCUAAGAAAACAGUACCAUGCAUACAACCAAACAAGAGAGAGAGAGGGAGAGAGAGCACCCCAAAUACCUCAGUGAUAGCCUAUCAAGGUAUGUUUCCCGCUCGAUUGGGUACCACUUUGGGAACUGAUCCAGUAUCCAUGAUACAGCAAACCAUAUUUCACAAAUAACUGAUGUUAACCAUAAUGCAUAUGCAUCAUUAACCGGGUGGAGGAUUCUAUAAUGAAAGAAGAAGCCAAGAAUCACAAGCCGGAGUAUAAUUAUGAUUCUGUAUGGAUUUAUCUUGCUUGAAGGAAUUGGUAUUUUUCUAGAUAGAGGUUGCCUGCCUUCAUCCAUCCUACAUAAAAAAACAAAAAUAAAUAAUAAGUCCUUCACAUUCAAAUAAGAGAAAUGGGGAAAACACAAAUAAUGGAAAGAGGAAUGUGAUGUUCAGUUCCUAAUUAAAUUGAGAUAAUGCUUUCUAUACCACCUCUACUCAGACUAACACAAGGAAAUUUUAUUUCAUAAGAUAUUGUUACUGUUCCCAAUAGGUGAAGACUUCUAACUGUCAGCAAUGAGCAUGUCAGACAUUCAUCAACUUGACAAACAGUUCUGAUACCUGUUUACACACUGACAAAUGCGUCCACAUUCAUUUUUUGAAGAAACAUGGAGACAAACAUGUUUGUAGUGCAUUUUUGUUGCAAACACAUGAAAGCAUUUGCAAAACUAUAGAUGUAGCUAUCUCCCAAUAGCUAUGCUUCAGGAGUUUCAUACAAAAAUGUGCAUGUAGCUGUUUCCAAUGUGCAUUUAGCUUUUCUGAUUCUAAUGAUAAUUGUUUUCUAAAUGGAUUGUUAAUUGACUCACACCUACAUCCCUUCCAAGUUCAAGUUAACCACUUUCAUGCCUCUAACAUGUAUGAACAACAAUUAAUAUAUUCAGCUCACUAGCAAGUAGCAACCCCAAGUUCAAUCACAUGUUAGUUAACAAAUGUUUAACAUCAUAAAUUUCAUCACCCAAUAAUUUUGUUAUACAUUGAUCCAUAAGCGACCUAUUUCUCAUUCAAAUUCUGCCAAAAUUUUAACUUAUGGGCCAUGCCCAUAAAGGUGGUGCUCCACUGCUCACGUCCCUUCAACUUUCAAUGAACAGCAUCUAAGCAGUUUUAUUUUUUUUUCCUUUUUAAGCUUUUACCAUGUAAUACUAAAGUGGGCUUUCACGUCCAUGACAUGUUAGAUCUUCAUAGUAGUAGCGUUGAAUUUCUCAUUAACACAUGUUUACUUUGUUCACAUGCAUUGCAUGUGCCAUGGUCCCCUAAUGAACGAAUACGACCAAUUUACGGUUUUGAUAAAUGACAAAAAAUAUCUAGCAAAUGACCUCAUUUCAAUCUUGUCAAGGUUAAAAAGUUGAUGCUUCAUAUUGCUCCAAUAACUUGCACUCUUGUAUUACAUUUAAUCUUAACACAAAGCCACCGACAAUGCUCUAUUUGAGGCAAUUUCUUUCACCCAAGAAAAGAACAAAAAUAGAAAUGAUAAACUCGCAGGUGAAUAACAAUGCUGUUAGCCUGAGAGCUUAAGUUACCAAAAAACAGUUUGAUGCAUGAAAAGAAUUCAAGAAAUAGUACUUUAAAAUCCCAAAUUAUACUAAGCUACGAAGAAAAAAGUUACAGGAGAAGAUGCAACAAAUAGAAUAUGGUGAAGCAGUGAUUGAAAAAAUGCACCUACUUGGGCAAAUCAGGAUCAUCCAGUUCAUCUUCAUCAAAGUUUCCACCAUCAUUUCCUCCUUGGUGCUUAACAACCUGAAGUUUAUCAUUCUGCUUUUUCUUCCACUCUUCCAUUCGGUCCUUCCACGCAACACUUCCAUACCCAUAUACUGCCAGGUCUUUCUUAGGAUCCAUUGGUCUGGGUGGCACUGCAACAACAAAACCAGAAGGCACAAUAAAUAUGAUGAAGUAAAUGUGAAUAGACAUAACAGUGAGAAAAGGGUUCAAUUCCACAUAAAAACUAAUGAGGAAUAACAAGACUUACAGGACAUAGAAGAAUCAGGAAAUGGCAUAGGAUGGACUCGUUUUCCACGCCCCAUGAAUGGAGGAAUGAUAAGGGCGUGCUUAUCAGAGGAAAUCCCGACAUCCUUCAUUGAAAACAAGCAAACAACUAUUAUCAUAAAACAGGAAUCAUUAAUUAUAUGAACAUAGAAAUGGAACGAUGAAUAAAAAAUGCGAGUGUUAAAUCAACUUACAUAUUGGCCAUAGGUCAGAAGAGGGAUUCCUGAAGGGACUGAUGAAGAAUCCAGAUCCAAAGGCGUACUAAUCCCUGAAGUAUGGGCAUGGCUGCCGAUGUUCAGGUGAGCAGAGAGCAUAGCCUCUGCAACCUGAUGAGGAUCCCUACUGUAAUUGCUUCUGAAAUCAAACUCAUUCUCCAAAUCAUCAAUGUCAUCUUCCUCUUCAUCCCCUUCAACUCUGGGACUACCUGAUGUUUUAAGUGUGCUAUUAGUGGAAUCAUCACCAAGUAGAGUGGAGUUUGGGAUGAAAAAACACAGAGUAAUAGAAAAGAGACAGAGUCAACCAAGAAAUUAUAGAAACCCUUUACCUUUGAUGCGUUUGUAUCUGGUUUUGCAUUGAGGGCAAGCUUGAUUACCCUCCCUUCUUUCAUACUCGUAGCAGGGUCUGCAUACAGGGAAUGCACAUUCAUUACAGGCAACGAAUGGCUCCCCAUCCACAGUAAUCUCUAUCUCAUCCCCACAAAUCUGACAAAUCUGCCCACUCAAUUCUUUCACGGAAGUCACCUGUAUGUCACAGCAAAGUCAAUCGGCAUUAGGUCAUGAAAACUGGAUUUUUUGCUCAACAACCCCAGAUAGAAUAUUGAAGCAGCAUAUGAUUUUUAAACUACUCAUUCACACAUACAAAAACACACACACACACAUAUGCAGAAAUAAAGUAUAAAAUUUUGGUGCAGACCUGUAUGAAACAUAGAAAAUAAGGGGAAAGGUAUGGAUUUGUGAAAGUACAGAGUUCCAGAACAAGCAUGAGCAAAAGAGCUAAAAGAGUCAUGAAAAUGAAAAGGGAAGUAAAAGCCAUCCCAUUCAAGAAUCACACCUUUAAAAACAGGAACUUGGAUCAGAGGGAAAAAAAUUAAUGGAAGAUAGUGUCACUAACCCAAGAAGGAAAUGGCAGAACCCACAAAAGCUAAAUACAGAAAAUAAUGGAAAAAAAAUGUUAUGAGAACAAAAUAAAAUCACUGUAACAGAAAAUGAGCAAAUGGAUGUCUUCAAAAUCAAGAAAUGGGGCUGACAAAAAGUUUCAUAGACAAGAAGAACGUCGGAAGAAAAAAUAGAGAAAGCACAUUUUUAGAUAUUUUUCUUAAAAUCCAGAAAUGGAGUCGAUCAACGAGUUGAAAUAAAAAAAUAGAAUUAAAAAAAGGAGAGAUUUUGAAGGAACUUACUCGUCCAAUCUCAUCAGCAUUGAUCAGAACAAACUCGUUCCGGUUGUGUGAACCCGCCACGAGUCUUCCUUUGGUAUCCAUGAAAGCCCUCAAGAAUCAGACCCAGAUAGAACCCCAAAUGCUCGAAAUCAAGAAGACCCACCUCACGAUAUCAAUCUCCCAACCCCUCUCAUGCGCAAGAAGCAGACUUUUUUUUUUUUCUCUCCGCCUCUCCCUUUCAGCUCACUUUCUCACAAAAUAACCCAACCCCACAUCACACAAUGAACAAAUUCACACCCUAGAUAGAGAGAGGGAGAUGCAAACAAUAAAAAAGAAGAGUGGGGAAAACAACAAAAUGAGAAAAAAGUAUCACUGUUUUUGUUUGAUUGUUCCUCAAAGAAAACCCAAUGUUUUUAAACGUAACAGAUGGGUGGGUCUCUCAGAACUCAGAAGUGGGUAGAGCCGAUCCGUGACACGGGGUUGCAGAUGAUGUUAGAGAGAGAGAGAGAGAAAGAAAGGAAUCUAUUGGGGCGUUGAAAUUUCAACGCGUAUUGCACAAGAGCGCCCUCCUAAUUCAUGGCUUUAUCAUCAACAUUGGGGUGGGGCUCAGAUUUUGAUGGCAGUGGUGCCUCUGCUGGUGGUGGGUGGUGGUGGCCCACCUGAGCUACGGUGGCACACGGUGGGCGACGACUAGGGCACUCUCGUAAUUCUAUCCCUUUUGCCUCCCCCUUUUUUCUUUUUUUCUUUUUCCUAAUUUAUUUACUCAUUUCCAUUAAAACAAAAUAAAUAAUAAAUAAAAUAAAAAAUAAAAAAUUAGGUGUUUCCUUUUCUUAGAUGUUGAUGUGAUGUAUCUCCCUCACGGCUUUUGUGUGUCCUGUUGUGCAAUAAAAUUAAAAAUAAAACCCCCAAAAAAAAAAAAAAAAAGUAGAGCUAGAGAGAGAAUGAGAGUGGAGUUUUUACUUUUUAGAGAGAGAAGGUGGAGGGUUUAGAGAGAGAGAGAGAGGGACAGGAUUUUACAAUGGGAGGAAAAAAAGGGGCAAGUGACAAACAGCGGGGAGGAGUUUAUGAGUUGUAAAGGCUCCACGUGCGGCACGUGUGGAGGAACCCGAGAUCUGGGCGAUUUAUCGCGAUAAAUUGAAGAGGAAAUAGACAAAGUGACGGUGAUUGAUUCUUUCUUUGCAUUUUUGGAACGCCUUCACUUUUACGUGCAUUAAAAGACAAGGAAAGUCUUGGGUGUGAGUGCUCACUGCUCACGCCCCUUCCCCUUGGACCACCACACCCCCACCCCAUCAUCCUACAAAUUUUAAUCAUCCCAUAAUGUAGCAGUGACGCACCAUCGUUGUUAAUUAUUUUACCUAUCUUACGUAACGUCAAAAGGAUAUUUGAUAAAAAUAAAAAAAAAAUUAAAAAAAAAAAGUCCAAGGGACAUGAAAGAUCAUGGUAAAGGUUUUUCCAUACAAGAAGGCCAAGUAACCGUUGGCAAUACCUUUUGAUUUUCAGCAACGGUGGGCUCUUCAGAGUAAAGCUUUUAUACUGACUUUAUACCUAACACAGCACAUUCCAGCCCUUUACUUGACCUUUUCAAACAGCUUACAUACAAAAUAUGCAAUUUUCUACACUGGGUUGUUCUACAAAGUCCGAAAAGGAUUGAGCAGCUGAUUUGCAUUCGGGUUGUUCUUUAGACCGAGACAGAUAGUAUUUUCCAAGGCAAAAAGGCUUUACUGUGAAGAGACGGUGACAAGUAUUUAAAUAGUAGGCAAGUGGGGUGGUUUUUGGAUGGCCUUUUUUCCAUUAAUAUUUUGUAUUGAAUGGAGGGUCUGUGUGUCUAUUCAUAAGUCGGUGAAUAAACCGUACCAUGGUGUGGUGAGUGGUCUCAUGCCUCAGUGACAUCAAUGCACUCUCUCAUGCCCCCUGCAGAGGUUAAUAACUGUACUGAAUCCGUCCAUAUCCACCAUCUGAUCUAUAUACUAUGGGUUUCCACUGAUUGGAUGGGAAUGGGGGGUGGGGGGUGGUCUAUUGUUGUUUUCAGUGGUCCUGACUCCACCUGAUGGUGUGGAGUGGGUACAUUGAUGGUAACAAACUAGGGAAGGGCAUUAUCAGUUUGAUUGAAACCAAUCACAUUUGUAGUCUGUGGUCUACCUGCCUUUUGGGGUAUGGACUCUCAUUGAAUCUGAUGAAGUAGUUGGAGACUUUAUGUCUAUUAUCUUAAUGGCACUAAUUAAUUGGCAUCUGGGGUUGGUAAAAUUGUAACUUUUUGGGGCAUGGCUGUAUGAUAGAAACCAUAGAAUCAUUGUGUGAUGGGGUGGUAACAUUUAUUUUAAUGUUUUUUGACAUGCAUUAAAGUAAAUUAGCAAAAAACAAUUCAUGGGUUUUUGAAUUCUCACCCGAUGAGAUAUUGGGCAUAUUCCCAUUUUUGUCCCAAUUAGAAUCCUCACAUUGGAUUACAGUUGUUUACAAAAAUCAGACUUAUUUUUGUUCUCAGAGGUAGAUUUUUCAACCACAUAUUUCUUCAAAUUGGGAAAAUCUAAAACAGAAUUAUAGCUCAUUUUUUUCCAAAAAUAAAAAAAUAAAAUAUCAUUAUUAUACAAAAACCAGUUUAGGAAUAAUCUAAGUUUUCAAAAAAACAAAUUAUUUUUGUAAACCUUUCCAAAUUAAUAACUAUUUUUUAAAAUAAUUAUAAAAAAUAGUUUUUGGAAACAAUUUUUUAAAACUGUUAUUAAAAUAUGUUUGAAAACUUAAAAUGUUUUUAACUUAUUUUUAAUCAUUUUAAAUAUUUAUAUAUUUAUUUUUUAAAAUACCUCUAAAAAAAAGGUAAAAAUAACUAAAGUGUAUUAUUUAAAAAUAUUGUAUUUUUUAUUUUUAAGAAUAAAAAAUAAAACAUAAUUUUUAAUUAUUAAACAAAUUUUUCAUAUUGUUAUUUUAAAGAAUAGAAAACUGUUUUAAAUAUCGAGGUUGUUGUGAUUGCAUGACUGCUUGGUUAAAUUGUGGCUGCUAAAUUUGCAAAUGAUCAUGAUUAAUAUCUUAAUCGUGUGUAGGAAGCUGUCGCCUGUACAAGAGGUGAGAGUGAGACAGUGAUGAAAAUACGAGUUUUAGUUUUGAUGAAUGACAAAUCCCUCCCAUUUUCAUCACUGCCCUUCACCUUUUUCUAUGCAAACACUUGGUCCAAUAGAAAAGGUGAAAUCAAUAAUAAAAGGGUUGAAAAAGCAAAAGCAGAAGGAGAUCAAUAAUUGCCAGCAAGGUGGAUUGGGCAUCAGAUCUCUUAUAUGCAACUCAACCUCUACUUCUCCAAUUGCCCCCCUCCUUUUCAAGGGCAUGGUCCUAUCACCUAUGUGGGUCACUCUCCCUUUACUUCCAUCAUGCCCAAAAUCCUUUCCCUCUAGGCUCUAUGAUGCCCAAUAACUUAAGUAGAAGUUCACCUUUAUUAUUUUUGGGCAUUAUUGGUACUAACUAUAUGUUGUAGUUACAAGCCAUUCUAUUUAUGGUAACAUUCUUUUUUAUCACCCUUCCAUCUUAAUCCAACUCAAAUUAACCUAUCAAUUAUUUUGUGGUUUCAUUUUAUCUUAUUUUUGAGAAAUCUAAAACUUAUUCUUACGUUUUAUGCAGAUUUUUAUAUCCGUUUAACUAAUCUUAUUUAAAUUAAUUUACGAUUUAAGUCAAAAUCCGAAACUAUCCCAAAUGAGACGUGAGUAUUAUUUUAUUAUUCUAUAUUACGGGAUAAUUAAUUUUGCGGGUUUUAAUAAAAUUUUAAAUUGUUUACAAAUGAAAUUUAGUUGAACGAAAGGCAUGUGAAGAGCAUCCUUGGAUGUUAAUAGUAUACAAAGAAGGAGUUGAUUGACUGCUAAUACCAAUGAUCUUAACUUGCCUUUUGCAUUGGGCGGUCGGCUGCCAUCAUUAACUAAUGAUCUAUGAUUGAGUAUAUUCCAAUACUGUACACGUGUCCUCCAUCCGCUGCACUUCUACAAAAGUGGACGGUUCUCAAGUACCCAGGAGCAAUUUUUUAAUUAGCACUCGCUUUACCAAAUCUGCCGCAUCUUUUCCCAAACACCAGGGUUUGGCUUCGUAAACAAGACUCAGCAACCAAAUUAAAAAUAAGUGAGUGAAACCCUGAAGUACGACGACACGUGGGAUCACAGCUGGAGUAGCAAUCAUGCCUUCCACUGGGUAGUGUGAUAUGCCACGUUGGCAAAAAGUGGGUGUCCCAGAAAACGUGUAAUGAUGGUGGAUUAUAUUGGAAAAGCAACUUUUCCACGUGGCAUGGCACGCCACGUCGAUAGCGUAGAGGGCUUUAUUACAACUGGAAGACAUCUGGCACGCGUUUUUGUUGUAAAUUGUCUGGCAGAAGUGGGCCACGUGGUGCCAGAGUAGGUCCACAGACAGCUCAGCGACUGGGAUUGUCGGUCGCUUUCGCUAGCUGUAAAUCAUCAUAAGCGGAGAAGCGUCCGUAUGCGGAUGACGUCAUUAUUAGAAACGAUUUUAUAGAAAUGAAAGUAAUUUUUGUUGGGUGGUGGGUGAGAUUUUUGAAUGAAAGUUCGAGAAAGUAGGGAGGGAGAGAGAAAGGAAAAAAAAAGUUUAAAAAAAGGCGGGACAGCGUGGCGGGCAUUUUGUGGAGGAGGUGGUGUUUGGGGAGUAAUAGAAUAUGGGGCUGUUUGGCUAAUAGGAUAGGAGUUCGGCUACGUGUAUGGAUCUGAUUGGCUAAUCCUGACAGAGAAAAUUUUGCCUAGUGAGAGAUGAUCUCGGGAAAGCAAAUAUAUUUGUUCGAGAAAUAUUAAAUUUUUAAUUCAUUUGCAAUAAAUUCAAUAGCAUAUGAUAUGAAAUAUUUACAUUCCAUAAACAAAUUUUCCCUUAUUUUGAUUUAGAUUUUUUUUUUAAGGUAUGGUAUCGGUAUAUUAAUACUAGAUUUUCUCAUAUAGAAAUAGAAUAAUAUGAAUAACUAUGAUAUCCCUCAUAGUUUCAACGGGAAAGUUCUCAAAAUUGUUUUUUAAAACUGUGAUAAUUUUGGAUUAAAAGUAAAUAAUAUCUAUACGAUUGGAUGUGAGUUACGAUAUUAUAUUUUUAUUUUUUGAUACGUGGAUUAUACACACGUUUUAAAAUAGCAAAGCCAUAUAGUCGGUGUAUUAUUUAAUAUUUGGAUAUUUUAUAAUUGUUAAUAAUUUUAUAGUUUUCACAUACGUGUUCCCAAUUUUAAAUAUUAAAACUCGUUUUAGGAAAAAAAAAUUUAAUUUCUAUAUCACAAAUAAUAAAAAUUAAUUUAAUUUACCAUGUUUGAGUUUUUACAUAAGCCCGUCUAAUUCCAUUAAUUCAUUUGUUUGAAAUUUUAUUAAAUACAUUUUAUGUCAUUAUUUUCUUUAGUUAGUUUUAUCGCUCAAGAUACAUGAGUUAUUUUAUAAAAUUUUAACGGAUGAGGAUUAAAUGUAUUUAACAAAAUCUUGAAAAUAAAUGAAUGAAAUUAAUCAUAAAUAAUAAUGCCUCCCUUUUCCAUACAUUUUUUUAGAAAAUCACUUAAUUAAAAAAAUACAUCUAUAUUAAUUAUCAAAUAAUCUUUAAUGUAAAAGUGAAUUUAGGUGAGAUUACUCAAUAUAAAUGUUUAUAGUAUGAUAUACAUAUUUGAACUCAAAUCCUAUAAAUUUUAAGUUUUUCGAAAAAUUGAUAAUUCAAUAUGAUAUCAGAGUUUUGUAUGAUAUGAGAUUGUAAACUCAAGCCCCUUCUCCACAAUUUGUAUGUUCGCUUCCCAGUCUAUUCCUCCUCUCCCCCCUACCUAAUUUGCAAUUCCGUGGUAUAACUCAACUCAGAGAUAAUGGAGAAAAUCUAUCACUACUGUGGCUAUUCAUAUUCAUCAGUCCAAUAUAACUCCAAAAGAGGUCAUUUUCAAUGUCUAUAUAAUACCAUGUUGCAUGUAGAUAUGAAGAUGAAUUGGUAACUGCUAGAAUCCAAUGUGUUGCAAAUUGCACUUCAAUUAUUGUUUCUGGAUUUGCUAAUUGCAAAGCUGUCUUCAUUUAUUUGAUGCUUAUCAUUAUUUUUUAACCUAUUGGUAAAAUAUAGGUGGCAAAUUUGUUAGGACGGUGGAAUUUGUACAUUAUGAUUUGAUUAUUAAUGUAAAAUAAGAUUUUUGGGUUGUCUUCUACUAUGGUCAAAAAUCUUGAUUAGUUAUUUUGCAUAUCAAUUUUUUCAACUUAAGUCGUAAAUGAAAUUAUGAAUAUGAAAACCAUUUUUUUUUUUACAGCAAAAGAACUUUGACCUUCAUUUUAACGAAGAAAAAAAAAACUAAGAGAAAUGUUUUUCUAUUGUCUUAUGGAGAGAGAUAAAAAAAAUAAGAAAAAACAUGGUUUUUUUUUUUUUUUUGGUCUUUAGAGAGAUUUUUUCACAGAAAAAGAAAAAGAAAAACUUUUCUUUUAAUAGUAUCAUGCUCUUUGAAAGUUUUAAACUUCAAAACACAGCUCCCUCGUUUUUUCAUUUUCUUAUUUAUUGGGUUAAAUCAGGUCAACCCAUUUGGGUGCCUAAUCCUAACUCCAACCGUUAUCAUAAAUAAGUGUUUCAAUUAUUCAUUUAUCAUUAAUUUACUUUUCUAACGAAUGAUAAAACUUCUUUAAACUUUCAAUAACCUGACUAAAAUGGCAUCGGACAACUUACAUUUAAUCUAUAUCAUGGAACGGUUUCGUACAAAAAUUACUUGGCAUUAAUGCUUAAUCACAUUGGAGGGCUAACCUAUUUUGUUUGAUACAUUGGACACACUUCAAUUAUUUAUACAGGCAAAUAAAACAAAAUUGUUCAUAAUUUUAUUCCUACUUGCAAAAAUGAGACAACCAAGUAGCCCUUAAAAUACUAACAAGCAUAAUUUGUAGAUUCUUAAGAAUGUAGGAGGCAUACUGAAUAUUGAAUACAUCUUUCAUAUUUUCAAUCAAUUGACUACCUUGUCUUAUAUCCAUAUCUCACAUUCAUAGGGUGGAUUAGAUUUAGUCCACUGAAAAUGAUGAUCACAAAAGUUUAUUAAAACAAAUGUGAGAUUGUGAUGUGAUUGAUACAAUUAUUUUUAUUAAAAAAAAGGGUCAAUUGUAUGAUUCAAAACAUCCAUACAUAUAUUUAAUUAAUUAAUUAUUAUUAUUUAUAAUUCAUGACCUCGAUUUUCCACUAAAGGAGUGGGUGGAAUUCUUGACAACCACUAAAAUAUGUGGGCAAGUUGUACUUUUUAUAUUUAUUUAUUAUUGUUAUUCAUUUUGUCAAUCCUUGAAUUGAUUAAGUCUAUGUUAUGGGAAAGUGCCAAUUUCUCUCUCCACGUGCAUAGCAUAUGACUAAUUUAUUAAAUUAGUGAAGCUUGAGAUCAACCUGCAGCUGCAUAAGGUAGGGAGAUUACAACUUUUGGUUCGAGGAAAUCAAGGAAACCUUUGAAGGAUUGAUAGAAAAGGGUUUGGUAUUAAUCAUUUGUGUAGCUUCUAUGCUUGAUGCUACUACUCCUAUUCAACCAUUAAUAUAUGGUUUUAAUUUUUUGUACUUAAAAUAGUAUUAAUUUGAGAAUGAAAGCUACUUUAUUGGUAUAAUUUGUAAGGAUUUGCGAUUAAUUUAAACAUAGCCGCUCGUAACCCACCAUAGAACCCUUUUUUAUUUUUUUUUCAAAUUCUUUAUUUGUGAAACUAUUUCAUUGAAAACAAGUUUUAUAAAAUUCAAUAUGGUUUUUGGGAUUUCUCAUCUGAUCGCUCCCGUUAAGCCAAGUUUGAGUAGGUGAUUAUGUUAUUAGAAUUCUUAGGUUUAGGACCGACAAGAGAUCCUCGUGAGUCAAGCUAAAAGCGGUAAGAUGUUAUUUAAAUUGACUUUUGAGAAUUAAAAAUUAUUUUUUAAAUUUAAUAAGAAUUUUUAUGUUUAUUUUGUUAUUUUUAUUUAAAACACUUAGUAGAAACUUAAUUUUAGGUUAUAAAAAAAGCCCUUCUAUAUUUGAUAAAAUCUUUAUAAUACCAAUACCAAAAUUUCAAAAUUAUCUUUUACCUUGUGAUGAAAGCCCAAAAAAAAAAAAGGAGUAAUGCCAUGUGAGGCAUAAGAGGCCUUAGCCCACACCCCACCAUUUACAAAGACAACAAAACCUUGGACCUGGGCCUCGGAGCACAGGCCCAAUGGGAGAAGAAUGGGUGGUCCUCUAUGAAUUUGUACGUUACAAUACUUCAUAUAUGGACUUGAAUGAUGUUCUUAAUUGCUGGAUUUUUUUAAAGAUAAAUGGGAUGGGAUAGUCUCAACAUCAUCAACUUCAAAUCAAUAUUUGUUGAUUCAUUUUCCUUUUUCAGCCUCUUGAAUCCCCAUGCACGUAACGGAUGUUGCUCUCACGAUUUCUCACUAUAUAUACAAACCACAGCAUACAUGCUUCCGCACUCGAUCGACAUGGCUCUGAUGCUGAAGCUCUUUCUUUUCACUCUUCUCUCUGCAUGGAGCCUGGGAUCCAUGGCUUCCGCACGGUACCUGGACAAGAGCUUCAGCCUUGCUGCUCGAUUACAUGCGGACGACGACUCAUCAUCCAAGUGCUGGGAGUCUUUGCUUGAGCUUCAGGCAUGCACUGGAGAGGUUGUCCUGUUCUUCCUCAAUGGUGAGACUCACCUUGGGGCCGGCUGUUGCCAAGCCAUUCAGACCAUUGAGCACCAAUGCUGGCCUGCCAUGCUUACUUCCAUUGGUUUCACUGCCGAGGAGGGCGACAUCCUCCAAGGUUACUGUGAUGCAACCACAUCCUCUUCGGCUCCCCCACCACCACCACCACCACCAUCCAUGGAGCCUAAUGACGUGGUUACCUUGGGUGGCUUUUUCCUCGAUCCUUAGUAGAACGCGUUCUUACUAGCAGUUAUGUCUUUUACAUAUAUCUGAUCCGCUAGUCUAAAUAUAUACAGAAAAGGGUGUUUGGAAUUAAUGAAUGAUUUCCUAUAUAUUGCCCCAUAUUUGUUGCAAUUAAAUUCCAUUUCUUGCUUGAAAAAAAGGUAUAAUAAUUUCCCAUCAUUGAUAGCACUAGUAGUUGUCUUUUAUGGGCUGGACGAGACACACAGAUCGACCCACAAUUCUGCUUACCCAGCCCAUGCUCAGUGGUUUGGACUAACAUAAUUGGAGGCCCAAAAGGGAUAUCAAUAAUAAGAUAAUGUUUGGAAGAUGAGUCUAUUUUUGUAUCUAGAUAAGACCAACUCAUCCCCCUCUAAUUAAUGGAGAGGUAACGGCGUGAAGGGCAAGAUUCUCAAGGACUCAAAAGCCUUUUUGCUUUGAUUUUCCAUCAAGGCAUCAGUGCCAUACACAUAAGUCCAUAAGGUAAUGAAUAAGGAGCGUCAAAUCAGGGUGGGAUGCGAAUAUGCGGAUUGAAAGCCAAGUAUUGAUUUUAGUGGUAUGAGGUGGGUCGUGUAUGGAUGGUGACAUCUAACUAUAAGUCUCUCAAAAGACUUCAAACUUCCCCCCAUCUCCGCCUUCUUUCAUGCUCUUUCCACUCUUCUUUUAACGUAGUAAUUUUUUUUCCCUUUGGGUAAUUAGGAUCUAAGCAUGGAAGAAGAGAAUAUUCGGAUGAGUGUUUCAAGAGUUCUUGGCUUUCUACACAUUGUUACUUCAUUUUCAAGCUGAGGAAUCAAUUGGUCAUUUGUUAUGUGCUUGUUUGUGAUCAUUGGGAAGCAGAUUUAGGGUUUUGAAAGGUCAAAUGCUAAUCAACAGAAGAAGAAAUUUACACCCCAUGCCAACAUAAAGAGAUAAUUGUGGUUAGGAUAGAUUUCAUAUAAUUAACUUCAACUAACUUCUCAUGACCUGCCAUUCCUAGUCAUCAUUCAGUUAGUUAUUUCCUUGCUAUGCCCAUGAUCGAUGCAUCGACCGUUUGCCACUUGUUUUCAUCCAAAAACCUGUCAUUUUCUCUCCGAUCUCGAUCCACUAGAAUGGAUCAAACUGGAUUCUUUCUUCCUCUGGAAUAAUGUAAAGCUAGACUAAAAUUUUAUACAUUCCUCUAUUGGUUGAUGGUUUAUUAAUGGUGAGAUAUCUUGUACAAAUUGAAUCAUCAAGGUCAUUGGAGUGGUGUCCUUGUUGACUAAUUAAUGGGUCCAUGUUUCAUGAUCAUAAGGCCAUCUUGCAUGAUUCAAAUAUACCCUAUUGAAAUGGUAUACAUACACAUGCACAUUGUUCAAAAACGCCCUAGAAAAAGGAAAGGAGGAUAAAAAGAAAUACAAGUCGUCCACUAGUGCCAUAUGUGGAAAAGUAGUGAGCAUACAGAUCUCAACUCCCCUAGAGAAAAUUGUCCUCGUAUGGAACCUCAACAAUGAAUUCUAGAGAAAGCUGUCAAGUGAUCACAGUCCAGAUGAAUCUUGAUUUAGAAGUUAGAAAAAUGAAGGGUUGUUAGGUUAGGGUAGUUAGUCAAUGGCACAAAGAUGUUAUCUUAAAAGUUGUGGAGGAGAGGAGAGGAGAGGAGAGAGUCAGAAAAAAGAAUGAACCUAUCAGAAGAAAGUAAGAAACAUCAAACUAUAAUCUUAUUAACAUGGAACGAUAAUCAUGAUAAAGCCACACAACAAGGGUUUCACAAGGACACACAGAGAGACCCAGGAAACAAGACACAAACUCAUCCAACAUAGCUCAGACAUAGAAAUUAUUUAGCAUAGUUGCUCACUGGCAAUUGUAAAUCUAAUUACACAACAAGCACACAUGCAUGCGUCUAGAAAAGAUGGUGAUGCUUCUUUCCAUGAGCCUCUUCAUCUUCUUCCUUGGCUUCUUUCUUCUCGUGAUGCUCGUGGAACGCGAACCCGCCAGCUCCCACUGCAGCAGCCGCGGCAAUCUCUUCUUCUAUCUUGUGCUUGUGGGCAUGCUCAGGGUCUUUCUCCGACUUGUGCUUCUCAUGCUAUAAUUCAAGCAUCAUCAAGACGAUAAGAAAUAGUUCCUUUGUAUAAAAUUAAUUAAAACAAAAAUAUUUUCAAACUUCAUGACACACGGGGCAUUACCAAGGCGUAAGCGCCAGCAGCAGCGACGCCGAGCUCGCCGAGGUGCUCGAGAUGCUUGUGGUGCUUCUCCUCCUUCCUGUAGUCAGGGCCUGGGUCAUCUGCUAACACUUCGGUGGUUUCGGCAGCGUAGCCGCUGACACCAUCGGUAGCAUAGCUGGUGUCGGAGUAGGUGGUGUCGGAGUAGGGAACGGCGUCGUCAACAGGCUUGUCCUUGUGGUGGAAGAGGUGGUGGUGAUGCUUCUCCUCCGACAUGGUGGUGGUGAUCAAAUUAGCUGCAGAAACGAGAGAGGAAGAUGGUUUGUGAACUGUGAAGGUGUGAUGUGGGAGAGUGCAGUGGUGGGUGGUGGGGUAUUUAUAAAUGCUGGUUGCGAAG